rnacentral:tRNA from 1 species
AGACAGGUGCGCAAUACGGAUAGCGCGAACACCUCCUAUAGCGUUAGGUCGUGGAUUCAAAUCCCACCUAGCCCG